rnacentral:misc_RNA from 1 species
GUUCUUUCAUUAUCUUUAACAUGUUCACCUCAGCUAACUUAUACCUCUCAGCUGACCAUCUGUCAAUGGAGUUUUUGAGGACUUUGUUUUUCUUCUGCUUGCAAGCUACAAUUUGAUUAUUCUUUUCACGUUUUGGCCUUUUGUUAUUAUUCUGGGUGUUGCAGAUGGACCCAUGAUGCUUUCUCUUGCUAUUCGUCUUGGUGUCCUGUGAUUUACCAG